rnacentral:lncRNA from 1 species
AAUUAUUUUUGGGAUCCUGUGUUAUUGAGGCUGAGGACUGACUUGGGUUCUGAGAGACUCCCUGUCUUGGACUGCAGUGGGAUCAGUCUCAUUAGGUUGAAUCUGCAGCCUAUGUUGGUGUUAAUCCUGGUGUCACAGAGUGUUAAAAGGGCUGGAAAAUCUGCUCAAACCUCCUGCUGUGAGCCAGCAGAAUUUUGGAACAGGAGAAGAAUGGCAGCAGAGAUGCAGACACUGAACUUUGGGCCUGAAUGAUCUGUUUGGACCCUGAAUAUGGAAUUCUCAUGGAAUUUUGAGGGCCAUCACAUUGUAGUGUGACUUUUCCCCAAAAGUUGGUGAUUAAAGAUCCUCUCUUCAGUG